CUCAGUUCGGAUCGAAGUCUGCAACCCGACUUCGUGAAGCUGGAUUCGCUAGUAAUCGCGCAUCAGCCAUGGCGCGGUGAAUACGUUCCCGGGCCUUGUACACACCGCCCGUCAAGCCAUGAAAGCCGGGGGCGCCUGAAGUCCGUGACCGCGAGGGUCGGCCUAGGGUGAAACCGGUGAUUGGGGCUAAGUCGUAACAAGGUACC
rnacentral:rRNA from 1 species